rnacentral:rRNA from 1 species
AUUGAACGCUGGCGGCAUGCCUUACACAUGCAAGUCGAACGGCAGCACGGGAGCAAUCCUGGUGGCGAGUGGCGAACGGGAGAGUAAUAUAUCGGAACGUGCCCAGUCGUGGGGGUUAACGUAGCGAAAGCUACGCUAAUACCGCAUACGAUCUAUGGAUGAAAGCGGGGGACCGUAAGGCCUCGCACGAUUGGAGCGGCCGAUAUCAGAUGAGGUAGUUGGUGAGGUAAAGGCUCACCAAGCCGACGAACUGUAGCUGGUCUGAGCGGACGACCAGCCACACUGGGACUGAGACACGGCCCAGACUCCUACGGGAGGCAGCAGUGGGGAAUUUUGGACAAUGGGCGCAAGCCUGAUCCAGCAAUGCCGCGUGCAGGAUGAAGGCCUUCGGGUUGUAAACUGCUUUUGUACGGAGCGAAAAGGCUUCCACUAAUACUGGGGGCUCAUGACGGUACCGUAAGAAUAAGCACCGGCUAACUACGUGCCAGCAGCCGCCGUAAGAC